AAUAGAUACCCUGGUAGUCCACGCCGUAAACGAUGAGUGCUAAGUGUUAGAGGGUUUCCGCCCUUUAGUGCUGCAGCUAACGCAUUAAGCACUCCGCCUGGGGAGUACGGUCGCAAGACUGAAACUCAAAGGAAUUGACGGGGGGCCCGCACAAGCGGUGGAGCAUGUGGUUUAAUUCGAAGCAACGCGAAGAACCUUACCAGGUCUUGACAUCCUCUGACAACUCUAGAGAUAGAGCGUUCCCCUUCGGGGGACAGAGUGACAGGUGGUGCAUGGUUGUCGUCAGCUCGUGUCGAGAGGUGUUGGGUUAAGUCCCGCAACGAGCGCAACCCUUGAUCUUAGUUGCCAGCAUUUAGUUGGGCACUCUAAGGUGACUGCCGGUGACAAACCGGAGGAAGGUGGGGAUGACGUCAAAUCAUCAUGCCCCUUAUGACCUGGGCUACACACGUGCUACAAUGGAUGGUACAAAGGGCUGCAAGACCGCGAGGUCAAGCCAAUCCCAUAAACCAUUCUCAGUUCGGA
rnacentral:rRNA from 1 species